AUAGAUGGCACAUAGCCUAUAGCUGUCCAUGGCAGCUCCGCACAUGGCGCGUAAUAGACAAAGCUGUAACAUUGAUUCACGAGCUAAGAGUGGUCCCUGGCCCCUGCUAUAUGGUGAGAGCCUGACUUGACGAAGAAGGGCUCUGGCGUUCGUUCCCUACGCCAUGUUACAUCCUGGCCAGAAACGUCGACUCUCUUGGGAUUUCAUCGUCUCCAUUGAGAAAGGUUCUGUUGAAGCAACAGGAAGAAUGAAUGAACCGGGCAGAUGUUCAUGGUGGGGGCUCAGAGCAGUGUGAAUAACUACUACUGACGUAACUCACAAAAACAGAUGGACGUGACAAAUGAAGAGUGCUGAAUGUAUUUCUAUCCUCAUUUACAAUUACAUGUGGAAUUGUUGUAUUCAUUUGAUGGGUAUAGACUGUAAGUCAUGUCCCUUUGAUGCACACGCUCAUAAGAUCUCAAAUGCUGAAAUAUCUUUUCAUUGGUUAUAAAUGUUUUUGCCCCGUUUUUUUUGUUGUUGCUGUCUUUAAUUUAGAGAUGAAUUCUGAUGGACAAUUAUAAAAUGGCACUAUAGUUGGUAAAGUUAAGUCAUAAGCUAUCUAAGCAGGAUGAUAAAUAAAAUAGGCUACCUCUUAAUGAAUAACCCCUGUUUGAGUAAUAUCCUAUCACCUGAAGAGAUAUAUUAAUGUAAGAAUAUUCUGUAAAUUUGCUAGUAUGCCAAAUAGGCUACGUUACAAAAGUGAGAUAUAAACGUCUGAAACGCAAGUUCAUCCAAGCCAUAACGUAGGCGCUACCUAUCACGUAUAUAUCGAAUGAUCUUCACUUCUGUCAAAGAAUGCAAAUGGUUGAAUGAUGACUUGUCAAAAGUCAAUCGUUUUUUCCUACUGAGCACAUUUUGCUGAGCACAUUGCAUUGGUAAAAUGCUCUAAGGCAUUUGUGGUUUGUUCAUAUUUCAUGUUUAGUUUACAUGUCGGUGCAGGCAUACAGCUAAUAGACUAUGGCGACAGCGGGGUGUCUUCAAGGCAAGAAUAUCCCAGGAUACACUGUUGUGAGACGCUCUGUCUGGAUUGCAGGCUGACGCACUGUACAUCAUAAUGCCCAACAACAAGUCUACAUUUUUCCACAGUCGUGACAUCGCGCAAAGGAGACGCAUAUUCUCUCAAUAAUCAUGUUCGAGAUGUCAUUGUGGCUCACAAAUGUACAGUGCAACGGAAUAAAA